rnacentral:rRNA from 1 species
GAUGAACGCUGGCGGCGUGCCUAACACAUGCAAGUCGAGCGAUCUUCUUCGGAAGAGAGCGGCGGACGGGUGAGUAACGCGUGGGUAACCUGCCUCAUACACAUGGAUAACAUACCGAAAGGUAUGCUAAUACAAGAUGAUAUAAGAGAUUCGCAUGGAUUUCUUAUCAAAGCUCCGGCGGUAUGAGAUGGACCCGCGUCUGAUUAGCUAGUUGGUAAGGUAACGGCUUACCAAGGCAACGAUCAGUAGCCGACCUGAGAGGGUGAUCGGCCACAGUGGAACUGAGACACGGUCCAAACUCCUACGGGAGGCAGCAGUGGGGAAUAUUGCACAAUGGGCGAAAGCCUGAUGCUGCAACGCCGCGUGAGCGAUGAAGGCCUUCGGGUCGUAAAGCUCUGUCCUCAAGGAAGAUAAUGACGGUACUUGAGGAGGAAGCCCCGGCUAACUACGUGCCAGCCGCCGCCGUAA